CUUUCUGUCUGCACAGUGGUAGGUCUUUUGCCUUGCAGUAAGAAGGUCCUGGGUUCGAUUCCCAGCUGGGGGU